GGAGUCGGCCGGGCAGUCGCGUCGUGCGUAGGCACGCCGAGGAAAGUCCGGGCUCCACAGGGCAAGGUGCCAGGUAACGCCUGGGCGGCGCAAGCCGACGGAAAGUGCAACAGAAAGAUACCGCCAACCUUCGCUGCGCGUUUUCGCGCGCGGAGCGGUAAGGGUGAAAUGGUGCGGUAAGAGCGCACCGCGUGCGGGGCCAACGCCGCACGGCACGGCAAACCCCACCUGGAGCAAGGCCAAAUAGGGACGCAUUGGUGUGGCCCGCACCGCGUCCGGGUAGGCUGCUGGAGUGCCGUGGCGACACGGCACCGAGAGGAAUGACUGCCCUUGACAGAACCCGGCUUACAGGCCGGCUCCGCAC
rnacentral:RNase_P_RNA from 2 species